rnacentral:rRNA from 1 species
AUAUCAAUAAGCGGAGGAAAAGAAACCAACAGGGAUUGCCCUAGUAACGGCGAGUGAAGCGGCAACAGCUCAAAUUUGAAAUCUGGCUUCGGCCCGAGUUGUAAUUUGUAGAGGAUGCUUUGGGCGCGGCUCUAACUGAGUUCCCUGGAACGGGACGCCACAGAGGGUGAGAGCCCCGUAUAGUUAGAUGCCCUAGCUAUGUAAAGCUCCUUCGACGAGUCGAGUAGUUUGGGAAUGCUGCUCUAAAUGGGAGGUAAUUUNCUCUAANGCUAAAUAUNGNCAGAGACCGAUAGCGCCCAGUAGAGUGAUCGGAAGAAUGAAGGCACUUUGAAAAGAGGGUUAAAUAGCACGUGNAAUGUGNNAAAGGGAAGCGCUGUGACCCAGACUGCGCCCGGNCAGAUCAUCCGGUGUUCUCACCGGUGCACUCUGCCGGGCUCAGCCANGCAUCGGUUCUCGUGGGGGGAUAAAGGUCCCGGGAACGUAGCUCCUCCGGGAGUGUUAUAGCCCGGGGCGUAAUGCCCUCGUGGGGACCGAGGUUCGCGCAUCUGCAAGGAUGCUGGCGUAAUGGUCAUCAGCGA